UGUUAAUUACUUGUUAAGUGUAAUAUGAUAUUUUAUACUCUUUUUAAAUGGCAUAAUUAUAUAAGAUAUGAAAUAGACAGGAGGAGUUUGCAUCAGGCCCACAUCUUUUUUGUUUUCAUGGAAAGAUCACAUUCUUACACUUAACCCAUAAAUAUUUUCUUAUACAAUAGUUUCUCCAUCCAUAUUUCUUUACAUAAUCUUAUUUCGUAAAAAAUUCAUGUAAAGAUACCUAAGCCAGUUAGAAUCAAUACGAUGUUGCGUGUAGGAUAUAUUAAAAUCCGCAUUAAUUAAUGCUACGCUAUGCAGCGCGCACAAACUUGUUCCAUUGAGACAAAAGAGUUCAAAACUGACUCGGUAAGUUGUUAUCUACAUGUCAUUCUUUGUCCCUUUUGUCUUUUGGUUUGAUAUUUUAAUUAGCAAUCACCACAAACCACACACCUAUUUUGUGUCACAUAUUGGCCUUUCAGAUCGUGUUGGGACGAGGAUGAUGAUCAUCACACAUUUUUCAGUUCCCUUCUUAUGGGAUGACUUCUUUUUUGUGUGUGCUAGAUCCAUCGGUUGUAUACUAUACUUGUAUUCACCAAACGUAAACCAAACCAAAACAAAAAAUUGGUGAUGCGAAAAUGCCCAUUAUGCAAAUACUAUAGUCGAAAGUGAUAAAAAAUGUUGUUGCUUCCGUGAAUUUGCAGGAUUCUAGACCCUCACUCACAGAAGUUUUCGUUAUGAUUUUGGUUUGAACAAUUUCUUACAAACUUUAUCUUAAAAAGAGGUGAAAAAGGAAAAGUGCCAUUAGAAAUUUCUUACUAAUAAAAGCAAAGGAAAUGCUAUGACUAUCAUUUGUUUGAUGAUAUGAAGUACUGCUUCACACGCGGAAGAUAAUUUGAGUCCAUGUUUGGUUCAGUUUAGAUUUGUUUAAUAAACUACCCCCAAAAACUAUAGAUUUAUAUAAUAAUGUUUUAAACAAUAGUGCAAUUCAUUGAUUCUAGAUUAUUUUUACACCGAUAAUAAGUCACAACUGAGUCAUUUCCAUAGUAAGGUUCUUCCCCUUUUCCUUAAUUUAUUGUAAGUUACCUUUGCCUACCACUUUAAAAUAACCCUUAUUUUCUAACUUCGGAAUCCAAAUCUACUUUGGCACUCUUUUUGGUUCUAGCAAUAUCUGUUCUAGCCGAACAGCUCAAGUAGGCCCAACAUUCCCCAACUAACAAUUUACACUCUUUUCUUUGCCCAUUUUCUUUUACUUGUUCUCUUUGUUGCUUAAUUUUUCCUAGUGACAAGAUAGGAGAUCCGAUCACACUUUAAUUUUUUUUCCAACAAGUCAACAAUUAAGCAUUAUACAAACCAUGUUAAUUUAUCA
rnacentral:lncRNA from 1 species